rnacentral:Y_RNA from 1 species
GGCUGGUCUGACAGUAGUGGGUUAUCUAUAAACAUUAGCGUCACUAAAGUUGGUAUACAACUGCUCACUGCUAAAUUUGACUGGCUUUAA